UACGGAAGGCAGCAGUGGGGAAUAUUGCACAAUGGGCGAAAGCCUGAUGCAGCUAUGCCGCGUGUAUGAAGAAGGCCUUAGGGUUGUAAAGUACUUUCAUCGGGGAGGAAAAAACAAAACUAAUAAUUUUAUUUCUUGACGUUACCCGAAAAAGAAGCACCGGCUAACUCCGUGCCAGCAGCCGCGGUAAUACGGAGGGUGCUAGCGUUAAUCAGAAUUACUGGGCGUAAAGAGCACGUAGGUGGUUUUUUUAAGUCAGAUGUGAAAUCCCUGGGCUUAAACCUGGAACUGCAUUUUGAAACUGAAAUACUAGAGUAUCGUAGAGGGAGGUAGAAUUCUAGGUGUAGCGGUGAAAUGCGUAGAUAUCUGGAGGAAUACCUGUGGCGAAAGCGGCCUCCUAAACGAAUACUGACACUGAGGUGCGAAAGCGUGGGGAGCAAACAGGGAUUAGGAUACC
rnacentral:rRNA from 1 species